rnacentral:rRNA from 1 species
GACGGAGGAUGCAAGUGUUAUCCGGAAUCACUGGGCGUAAAGCGUCUGUAGGUGGUCAAAUAAGUCAACUGUUAAAUCUUUAGGCUCAACCUCAAAAUCGCAGUCGAAACUAUUCGACUAGAGUAUAGUAGGGGUAAAGGGAAUUUCCAGUGGAGCGGUGAAAUGCGUAGAGAUUGGAAAGAACACCGAUGGCGAAGGCACUUUACUGGGCUAUUACUAACACUGAGAGACGAAAGCUAGGGUAGCAAAUGGG